rnacentral:rRNA from 1 species
AUUGAACGCUGGCGGCAGGCCUAACACAUGCAAGUCGAGCGGAGCGGCGGACGGGUGAGUCAUGCCUAGGAAUCUGCCCGGUAGUGGGGGAUAAAGUCGGGACACGGGCGCAAAAACCGCAUACUAUCGGAAGGGCCUAGGGUGGUUUCGCUAGUGGGGGGGGUAAAGGCCGACCACGGCGACGAUCCGUAACUGGUCUGAGAGGAGGAUCAGUCACACUGGAACGGAGACAGGGUCCAGACUCCUACGGUAGGCAGCAGAGGGGAAUAUGGGGCAAUGGGCGAAAGCCGGGUCCAGCCAGGCCGCGUGUGUGAAGAAGGUCUUCGGAUUGUAAAGCACUUUAAGUUGGGAGGCGUUACCAACAGAAUAAGCACCGGCUAACUGCGUGCCAGCAGCCGCGGUAAUAC